GCAGAGGAACCCUCGGGCCGCUUUUAUUCUUCCUCCCUUUUUCGGUCUCCUUCUUCUUCUUCUUCUUCGAUCGGAGAAUGCGCUCGAUCUGGGUUUUCUGAUCUUGGUUCGGAUUCUGGAUAAGCGAUUAGAGGCGAGAUGGGUUCUCGGGAUGAGAAGGGCAACGACGAGCAGUGGAAGGAGAGGGAGCGCGCGACUAGGGCUUGGCGCGUCGCUCUCUUCGGAUUUGUCGGGGUCGCCGCCGCUGGCCUCGUGGUCCUCGCUACCCAAAGCAUCACUUGCUUGUCCAAGCUGCGGCCAAGGAGAGAGUAAGUAACUGCAUUCAUUUUCUGCAUCAAGCUGAACCAACGGGGCAAGAAAAUGCUGGGUGCAGAACGCCUGGUUUUCAUCACACGAAGAAGGAGACAGCUGCAUCCAUGGAGAGAGAAAGUUACUGCCUUCAUUCUCAUCCUCGAGCUGAACCAACGAGGCAAGAAGCUGGGCGCAGAACGCCUUGUCAUCAUCGCAAGAAGAAGGAGACGGUUCAGGAGACUGCUCAAGAAACAUUGGCAGCUGCCAAUUACACACCCUCUUCGCCGGUGGCUGUGCGGUGCAUUCAGAAAACAGAGCGGCCUCAUGCGGCUGCGAUCUCUUGGGCGGCGGCUGUGCGGUGCAUUCAGGAAACAGAGCCGACGGUAAGUUAGCGGCCUCGUACGAUCUCUUGGGCGGCGUCUCAGCAGUGCAUUCAGGAGACAGAGCGGACUCAUGCAGUCGCGUCGUCGGAAAGUUGGCAGCCGAUCGCUUUUUGAUCUUGCCCGCCCGGUUCUUGAUAUGGCAGAGUACUUGGGUCUGGAAGACGCCGGCGACGGAGAGAAGUUCGUAUUCGUGCAUGAUCCAACCUGAAUUUUUGCUCUUGCCGUCGUUGAAAGACAAACUGCUCUUGCAACCCACGGCGAUCUCCCGUCCUUCGGCAUCUAGCGUGGUCACAGAUUCUUCUUUCUUGCUGUACAGGGUCCAAGUCCCUGUUCCAGCCCUUCGAUCCACCCUGGUUCCGACAGCGUUCUUGCGCUUUCUCUUGGCGAAAAAGUAGCCUUCUUGGUCGCCAUUCCUCAAAAGAUUCCACGGUUCGGUGCCGUAGACGUCGGCUUCGACGACCGCCGUUGACGGCACUAGCUUUCCAGCUACUCUAUUAGCCAGAUAGUCGACAAUGAGCUCUUUAUCUGUCGGAAGAAAGCGAUAGCCGAUGGGAAUCGCCGUCGCCGUUCCGCCCGUCGUCGUCGCCAUUCCGAAUUUCCGAUCGUUGUGUCGUCGUCUGGUCGGAGUGCCGCUUUCAGUGUAAUAAAUAAGGUUUGGAUCCGGACCCGGGCCGGGCCGGGUUAAGUAUCCGUUGACCCGGUCGAAGGACCAAACCCUAUACCCACUUGCUUUCCAAAUUGAACCCGGCCGCCGAGGAGUCUCUCUCUCUCUCUCUCUCUCUCUCUCUUCACUUCCAUGGGACGGCGAAAAAGCGGCGGCACCAAAGCUGAAGCUGACGGCCAGAAGAGCCAUGGGCUCGCCCUGGGCACCGCCUGCGUCGUGGGAGACAGAAUGGGGGUGGACGGCGAGGAGAUGGAGGAGAAUGCCGAGAGCUCCAACCUCGACGACUCGCCGUUGAUCGGCGCGGACAACACCAGCGCCGGACUACGACUCAAUGCUGAAAAAAAGAGUUUUUUUCCCCUUAUUUGUUUUUAUUAUGGGUUAAUUGCUAUGUUUUUUAUAUACUUUAUAACUUUUACGAAUCUAUCACAUAUUUUUAAAAAUAACUAAACCUACUGUAUAACCUUGACGUUGUAUCAAAAGAUCAUUUGAAUUAUUAUCGGGGAAGCCAGAACAAAUACAUUCUAGGUGUUUUUUUUUGUCUAACAAGUUACUACAGGAACUGACUCCUUAUUUUGUCUUUCUAUUUGCAGGUAUCCAUGAAGUAAGUUAUUCAUUUCUGAUUCAUGAUCUACUACUGGUUGCCAUCAUGUAUGUGAUGGUGUAAUGUUUCUAUUUAGUGAAAUUCUUAAUAUUAUUGAUUUUUUGAAAUUUAACUUAUAUUUACGCAGGCUAAGAGUUUCUUUGUUUGUUUCUGAUCUGUUGUGUUUAUUAAUCAAUUGGAGAUAAAAUAAAAGAGAGACAAUAAUACUAGUCAAUAUUAUCUUCUUUCUCUUGUUAUGAUUCUCUGCAUUUUUUCCUCAUUUUUUUUUCUAACAAUAGACAUCAACUGCCAGUUAUAGUAGCUAGUGGCUGAAUAUUAUUUGAUUGGUUUGGAGAUCAUAACGAUCUUAUCAUGCAUAGAAGGGUUAUUUCAAGCUAAUAAUAGACCUUAUUAGACAUGACAAACAGCCAAGGGAUGUGGCACAUUUGAGGAACGUAAGAUUAAAUGUAUAGGAUAGAGCCAAUAAGUUUUGAUCUACCUAUGCCUUUUCCUGAUUUGCCAAAUAUUUUAGUGAACUAUUUUGUAUAACUUGUCUCCUAUGUUAAGUAGAUUACUCAGAAGCACUCGAAUGUUUUUUUUUUUAUUGUUUAUGCAAAUUUAAGCAUUAUUGUUGACAAAAAAAAAUUAUGUUCUUUCUUUAGGAUAUUUAUUAGUCUAAACUAAAUGUUGUAAGGGAUGCAUCUGUCUGACCUGAGCUUCUUGGUCUGCGUCAUAGAAGUAUACUUAGUCCAUUGUUAUAAGCUUAAAUUUCUGGGCAUCAUUGUUAAUAGUAGGAUUUUCAUCGCUUUUGAUUGUCUGUUGUUAUUUACUUUUGCUUUCUUUUAUUCUCUUUUGAAAUCAUUUAUCUUUGUUUUUUUUUUUGAUGCAUUGGAUUCCCUUAACUUUCUUUGUCUGGAAGGAAAAAAGGAUGUUGUUAGGACAAAAACAUAUCAGAAUGUUAUUUAUCAGAAUACGUUUCUCUAUUCAAGAACAAGGUUGUCCUCGAUGUGGGUGCAGGAACAGGAAUGUUAUCUCUGUUUUGUGCUAGAGCAGGGGCAAAACAUAUAUAUGCAUGAAGUCAUUUUCUGAAUUACCUUCUCUGGAAUGAAUUAGGUCCACAAAUAGUUGGAAAUCAUAUCAUAUAUAUGAAAUGAGCUAUUGAGUAAUGGGAAAAUGGCAGUUAUUCCCUAACUAGUUCUAGAUAUGUAGAACUGUUCUUAGAGCAUCUUGAAAGGUUUUCUGGACCUCCAUGUCACUGGAUCAAACAUGCUGCUCAACACAGUAUAUACAGAGAGUAAUCACAAGUAUAGACUUUCUGACUGGAAUUUUUAAGUAUCCUCCUUUUUCUUCGCGUGUCCUUCCAUGAACCAAGUUAGCUAGUUCCUACUGACAUAGCACUUUAGAAUACAAUGUUUUGUUUGGCACACGAAACAACAACAAAUGAUUCGUUCCUCUACUUAUUGGAUUUCCAAGUUGCAUUAUCUAAUUUGGCUUUGGAAAAUUAUGGACCGACCUUAUUAGAAUGCUGUAAGAAUCAAUACUCUUUACCUGUUGCACAACAUUCAUUGUGGUAUUAGGAAAAAAACAACUACUACAAGAUGCUUGCUAUUCUUUUAUAACAUUUUUCUUUAAAAAUUUUAUUUAAUUGACUCUCUAAUUUUUAUAGGCUUAUAUUUGGAGAUGUAAACAAAGAAUCAGAUAAAAACUCAUGAGUUGAUCUAGGGCUGACACAAACUUCAGGAUAAAAUGAUGCUCUGGUACUUGCAUCCCGUAACUUGAUAAUUCAAAGAAUAUAAUAAUUCAAAGAACACAUAUGGAAUUUUUUCCUCAAACUGUUUGUUCACAAAAUUUAUAAAUAAUCUUUUUAUUAAAAAAUGUAAUAUGUGUUAAGACUCAGGACUCAAGACUGCUAGCAAUUUAUUAUCUGCAAAAUUACAUAAACAACAAAAUAUAUUUUCUUUUUCAUUUCUUAAACAGAAGAACAUAAAUAAUUAAAAAAAAUUACAAAUAGUAACUCAAAUAUCUAAAUUGAAUAUUCAUUAAUACUUGAAAGGAACAAUCCUUCUUUACUAAAUAGUAACUAUUAUUGGCUAAUAAGAAGCACCUACUUUAGCUCUUACCAUAACACAAUGUUUCAUAAAAUUCAAUAAAUUCAAUGAUAUAAAAUAGAGAAUGCAAUAAAUAUCAAGAUCCGCAUUGAACCGUAUCCUUACUCGGAUUUAGCCAUUAAUUGAACUAAGCCUUCUCUCUAUUUGACUUGAGAAUUAAUCUUUACUGCUACAUGGCCAAAAUUUCAUUCAGUCGUCAAAAUUGAAUCAAACCUCCAUCCAAUUAAAUUCGAAACCCAAUUAAUAAUCCGAAGCCAACUAAAGUUGUUGUUGUUCCUGCAUUUAUUAGUGGACUAAUUGUUCAUGAGUUGUAAUCCCGAAAGGAGUUUUAUCAUGAGAUUCCACAUCCAGUUCUAAUGGCGUCUCCCAGCAUGAUGAAGCAGUUUAUGUGUAUUUGUUUCGGCUUUUGGUUGGAAACUGCAGAAUAAUUUUGAAUGGGCUUGUUGCAAUGAGCGUGCCGGUGAUUGAUUUAUGUUCUCCUGUACAAGGAUACUGGUGGUCCUGAAUUUGUAGCAAUGCUCGAGCUGCUAGUAUUUAAGGCAAUGGCAUUUAUCUCCUCUUCAGGACCAUUAAGAGGUGGGAUUCUGCUACUACUAAAUGUGCUUCAGAAGACUGUUAUGUCACUUAGCACUCCCAAAUAUUACAAAUGGAGAUUUCUUGAAUCAAUUGGCAACGGUGCAAGAUCAAGGCAUAUACUCUCUAGCAAAUGUUACAAACAAGGAGUCCUUCUCAUCUGUCCACAGGUUGCUCUACCUUUAAACUUUAAAUAAUGCAAAAUAAUUGACCGGAACAUUCAUUGUGCAGCAAGGAAAAAAUGGACAACAAUACAUUUGUUUGAUGGGCUAUUUUCUGUUGUUUUAGAACAUGCUAAACACAGUUCUUUAUGCCCGCGAUAAAUGGCUUAUCAACGACGACAUUAUCUUACCAGACAAAACUUUACUAUUCUUGGCAACAAUUGAGGAUGCUGAAUACAAAGAAGAUAAGAUUGAGUGUGAGUCUUUGUAGACCUUUAGUGCUUGAUAUUCUAAUUAUUCUUUUUAGAUUCUAAUAAUUUUCUAAUUAUUCUAAGCAUUUUUUUUAUGGUCUUAUCCUGAGAGAUUCUGUUUUGUUUCAUUUAAAGUGAUUUUACUAUUUCUGUUGGAACUAUGUUCCUUCUUCCAGUUUGGAACAAUGUGUAUGGUUUUGAUAUGAGCUGCAUCAGGAAACAAGCUAUGGUUAAACCACUCGUUGAUACUUUUGAUCCAAAACAAAUUGUUACCUCUGAUGUUUUAGUUAAGGUGAUUUCUAUUACGGUUGAUUCUUAUAGACGAUGGAUAUUUCUGAAAUGGCAUCUGGUGAUGUGUCCUUCAUGGCUCCUUUCAAACUAAUAGCAGAACGCGAUGAUUACAUGCAUUUGUGGCAUACUUUAAUGUCCUAUUCACUCAAUGUCAAAAGGAGAUAAGCUUUUCUACCGGCCCGAGAUCAAAAGCUGCACACUGGAAACAAACUGUUCUUUACCUUGAUGAAGUUCUAACGAUUUGCGAGGAUGAAGUAAUCAAUGGGAGCAUUUCUGUAGAGCCCAAUAAGAAGAACCCGCAGGAUCUAGAGAUUACAAUAAACUAUUCCUUAAAUGGGAAACGUUGUCAAGUUUCUCUAACCCAACACUAUAAAAUGUGAUAGCUGGAGUUUUUGCUGAUGAAGUAAACAAUGUGAUUCAUGUGGACUCCCAUGCUUAGAAGUUGGAAUUGUUGUGUUAAACUAUUCUGUAGUAGUUGAUAAUAUUUUAAGAAAUUAUAUCAUCCUUGUUGAUUAAGAUAAGAGAGAUAUUAAUUGAUCUAACUUUAUUUGAUGCUUCUUGUCAUAGGAUAGUUGUAUCAUGUAUGUGAUUGCUGAAUUCAGUUUGCUAAAAUGGUGUAUGAAUAAUUGCUUUAGAUUAA